AUCGGCCACCAUAUAAUAAUAUUAUAACUAAUAAGUCGCUAAAUCGGGUUGCUCUAAUUUAAAAUAUUUACUCAAUUACUUUACCCUCACUAACCCUAGCUCACUCUCACCAGUCACCAUUCUCACCUUCUCAAACAGUUACCGAGUUGCAUUUCUCCCCCUCAAACAGUCUUCGUCUUCUCCAUUCUCGAUGCUGUCACCAUCGUCUUCUGGACUCCCAGCCAUCAUCGUCGUCUUCUCCAGCCUUGGCGUCGUCGCCGUUGUAUUCUGAACUCAACAUCUCGCGGUGCUUUCUCUCGCUUCUACAGCGACAAAGGUAGGAUUCUCAGCAAAGAGGAGCAGGCCAAAAGAGAGCAUCUAUAUCAAGAAACGGGAGAGAGAGAGGUCGGAGAAACAAAAGCAGCAAGCUGAGAAGAAAAAAGCAGAGAUGGACAAAAACGCUUCUGACAAGGUACUCUAUUCCCUAAUCCAAAUUCUGAUCCAUUCUGUUAGGACCUUUUCACCAUAUCUAUUUUGGAAUCUUCUCCAACACAAAUAUGCUAAUUAGAUUUUCUCACUAGAAGAACACACGAGCCUGCGAAAAUGACUUACGAGAUUACUAGCUGUAAUAGAUGAGCUUGAAGCAUUGUGACCUGAAUUUAAACUCCUUGGGAACAAAUUAAACCAUUGGAGGUAAAUCCUACCUGUAAUAACUGUAAUAUUAUUCUACUCUCUUGCUCCUUGGGGCUAUUGCUUCUUUGCUAUGCUCUUUCUUGUUUGUGGUUUUGUUAGGAGAAACCUUGAAGGCAUGCUUACAAUUUCAUGGUCCUAGUGUAACUUUUUAUCAGGACUCUUCUGGUUUUAAUUCUAUUCUUUUUGAAAGCUUUAAUUUGAGAAUCUUAGAUGCUUCUUUGCUUCAUCAGGGGUUUAGUACCCUUCUGAAAAAAUCAACUAUGGUAUAAUUAUUGUUAGUGUAUAUAUUAGUAUGUGGCUUCAUAAUUUGUCCCUUGUUAGAUCUUGUUAUUUUGUUAUCAUGAUAGUUAUAUUGAGAGAAUUAAGACAUCUCUAGAUAAAUAAAUAGAAAGAAAAAGAAAAGAUAUUACUAUUUAUAACUUUCAUUAUAUCAAUAUAGUUCAGACAUUGUAAAUUUUGCAUCUUUUGCAAUUUCAUGAGAAGGGAAUCCAAAGGAAUACUUUUUUAGCAAUCUCUCUUUUCUUUUCUUAUAUCUGUCUCUAAUCAUAAUUCAUCUUUGUGUUUGUGAAGUCUUCCCUCAUAGUAUUAUACACCAACGUAUAAAUUUGAAGUUAAGCAAAUCAUCACCGUGCUGCAAGAAUAUAUAUGUUUAAAAGUAUUCUAAUUUUGACUAAUUUGUUAGAAUGUGAACUUCUGAAUUUGUCUUUAAAUUUGUUAGAUGCGUAGAUGACUCUAAAUUUGCUGUUGAAUUUAUUUGUAAAUAGGUGGUUUUAAACUUCUGGUUUUGCAAUUUGUUAUGCAAUUUCUCAUAUGAACAUUACGAUUUGGUUAAGUAAUUUGCUUUUUCUUUCGUUUCUGCUAGGUUUCUUAUUUGAGUAUAGUUCUCAAUUGUGUUGUGUAUUGAUUUUAGAAACUAGGUGUUGGAACUAAAAAUUGUGAUGGAUUGAAUGAUCACUAGCUAUAACAUUUGAAGAAGUAGCUUUCUAUUUAAAUUUAUUUGGCAGUUAUUUUAAUGAAAAUGCAACUAUUUUUAUGUUCUUAAUAUAUAUACAUUUUUUAUACAAGAUAUUUGUCAUUAAGAAUCAAGAGAUACAGAUUUCUAGAUCUCUCCUGUUUGUGCAGAAUUUUUAGUCUUUCAAUAUUAUUAACUAAGUUUUGGUCAUUACUACAUUUGAUCCUAAUAAUUGCUCAUAUCUUUGUCAUUUGGAAAACAUAUAUGUGAAUUAAAUAGUGUAAGAUCUUGUCCAAUAAGAAAGGAUUUGAGAUGCAAUUAUAGGAUGUAGAAAAGAAACUGGAAGAUUAGUUGCAGGAGUUUAAAAUAAUACGAAGUCGUCAUUUGUCAAUAAAUGAUCAAUCAACAUUUAUACAGUAAAAUAAUAAACUUUUGUGCUAAUGAACAAUUAAUAUCUUUGUUCACGGCUUCAUAUUCAAAUUGAAGAGCUCAAGAGAAAGCUGAAAGAGCAGGAGUAGAACUCAGAGAACUUGCUUUAACAAAAGGUACUGAAUUAUUUUUUCUCAAUUUAGCACUUCCUUUUAAUCUAUCACAUGUUUUAUUUUAUAAUUUAAUAGAUUCACGCUAGAAAAGGCAUGUGGAUACAGGCGUCCAAUGAAUAAUGAAGAUAGUACAUAGUUCAUUAACUUAUUUUUUCAUGCCCUUUAAUUUUUAAUGUUGUUUCAGGUCACUUAUUAGUCGAUUAGAAGAAGUAAAUCCUAGGAAGUUGAAACAUGAAAAAAAUCUAGCUUUCUAGAUUAAUGUACACAAUGCUUUGGUGAUGCAUGUAAUAUUAAUAAUUAUCCUCAAAAGAUAAAACCCUUGUUUUCUUGUAA